UACGUAGGGGGCGAGCGUUGUCCGGAAUUACUGGGCGUAAAGAGCUCGUAGGCGGUAGUUCAAGUCAGGUGUGAAAUCCGACGGCUUAACCGGAGGGCUGCACCUGAUACUGGGCUGCUAGAGGUAAGGAGAGGAAGGUGGAAUUCCCGGUGUAGCGGUGAAAUGCGUAGAUAUAGGAAGGAACACCAGUGGCGAAGGCGACCACCUGGGCUAAUACUGACACUGAGGUGCGAAAGCGUGGGGAGCAAACAGG
rnacentral:rRNA from 1 species